CAGCCGCCGCGGGAAAACGUAGGGUGCAAGCGUUAAUCGGAAUUACUGUGCGUAAAGCGUGCGCAGGCGGUCCGCUAAGACAGAUGUGAAAUCCCCGGGCUUAACCUGGGAACUGCAUUUGUGACUGGCGGGCUAGAGUAUGGCAGAGGGGGGUGGAAUUUCACGUGUAGCAGUGAAAUGCGUAGAGAUGUGGAGGAACACCGACGGCGAAGGCAGCCCCCUGGGCCAAUACUGACGCUCAUGCACGAAAGCGUGGGGAGCAAACAGGAUUAGAUACCCCCGUAGUCCCUGUCUCUUAUAC
rnacentral:rRNA from 1 species